AAAUUGAAGAGUUUGAUCAUGGCUCAGAUUGAACGCUGGCGGCAGGCCUAACACAUGCAAGUCGAACGGUAACAGGAAGCAGCUUGCUGCUUCGCUGACGAGUGGCGGACGGGUGAGUAAUGUCUGGGAAACUGCCUAAUGGAG
rnacentral:rRNA from 1 species